rnacentral:lncRNA from 1 species
GGCAGAGGAGCAUUUGCUUCCUCCUCUCCAUGAUUAGAGGAUGUCUUAGGUCUAAACCACAACAAGGAGGACACCUACCUGCCUACUUCAGAGAGUUGUAGGGAAACGAGGUGCUGCCAGAGGGGCUCCAUGAAUGAUGCUUCUCUUUUCCUCUCCUGACUUCAGAACUCAUUGAGGAAAAAUGCAAAAAUGAAC